UAAAGGAGGUGAUGCUGACUUAGCAGUGUUUAUGGUGGUGGCUGAGCUUCUCAGAAAGGAGUGAUGCUUUAUGUUCAUCCUAGGAAAGGAAUAUCCGCCAUGACUGUGUAUCAGGCGUUGACAUUGGCAAUUGCCUUUGCCACCUUGAUCAUCACCAUUGAUCGACA
rnacentral:sRNA from 1 species